AAAGAGCCGAAAGUGAGAGGGAGAGACAACGCGGCCGGAGAAGAAAGGAAACGUUGCGGAGACGCCGGCGUUCGAAGAACAGUUUCGUUUCUGUUCCCUUUGUGAUUCUAAGCUGUUAAACGAGCCUUGAGGACGAUUUGUGCGAAGAAGUUUUGUAAGUAUCCCGUAUUUUGAACCUGAGUUUGGGAUUUUGAAUUCAAUGCAUGCAUAUUAUUGAUUCAUAGAACAGGUUCUUGAUUAAUACACCGAUAGAAGACAGAACUUGAACACCUUCCAGGCAGUAAGAACUGUUAGGAAUGAGUUUGGGAGCACUUGAUUUUGCUUUGGUGAUGGCCUCAUUUUACCCUGUUUGCUGCUUGACUGUGUUACAAGUGAAAUUUUUUUGGAAUUGGAACUUUAAAGAGUGAAAAGAAAAUAUAAGAAAA